UGAAUGGUGCAGCAUAUAAACAUAAAAUAUUGCACGAGAUUGAAAUUGUGACCAUUGUGGUGGAUGAACAUAUACAGUGUGCGGGAUUAAGGGGUGCACAAGAUGAAAGUAAGCACAAUUGUAUGCAUCGCCGUUUGAUGUAUAGCAUUUGUUGACACGCUUCGCAUAAGCUUCGCUUCACAUAGAUACCAAAAAGUGCAUAGGAUUUGCAUAUUUCCUUCGUCUGUCAUGCAUCAGAUAUUUCAGAGUGUGAAUUUGGGCUCACGGAUCCAUUUCGGGUUGUACAGCAGCGUGACAAUUCAGGAAACAAAAUUCGAUGCCAAAACGUUGACUUUUCUGUACUUUCCUUCUUUUCGUCUGCCGUGUUUUGUUUAUUUAUAAGCCAAUGACAUUUAUUCUGCAGCUUUCAGAGAAAAGUCAUCAAUUGCUAGUAAAGACGUGUUUAGUUUCUGCAGUUCAUCUUGCUACUCCAGAAACAAUGUUAUCCUAAUUAAUAUUAUUUCUCAUUCUUACGAUGAGCGUAGCCAAGCGGUCGCAGUUGCGAAAUUGGGACAGUCGAACGAGUAGAAAUGUCAGAGGAAUCAAACAGGGGUCUAGUUGUACUUUUCAGCUCUUGCGACAUUGUAAAGCAGAAGCGUUGCUGUAUACAUUUGAGUGGUUUAGACGAUGCAUUAUAGUUAUCCUGAUAUUCACGCAACACUGGGCUCUCUGUUGGUCGAGGUGUUGUGACUGCGUCACCAUUCUAAGUGGGUCGGAAAAGACAUUAGGAGUUUGCUAGUUGGUAACAUUAUGCAAAUAUUCUGACAGUGCAAAAAUUGGCAAAUACAAGCGAUGCGCGCGGACACAAGGGAAAUUUAAUACAAAUAAUUAAAAAUGUACGAUAUAACCCUACAACAUCAUUCUGGGAUACCAUAACAACUUGUGCGCGAGAUCAGCCUUAUCCACGCUCACGCUCGGCAAGAGAAACCGGCAAAUCUCCUUUCUGCACAAGUAUUUGUCGCUUUUGUUAGUUGUUGCUCAGCUUGACCGCAUCAGUUCGAUCGGUUACCCAUUGCACUUCAUAGCGUCAGGCGCCAAAGGUGACCUUGAAAAAUGGAACCAAUAAAUAUAUAAAGCCAACCCUCAGGAAAGAAAUUAUGGCAGUCACCAUCCUCAUAACCAUCACCAGCAGCGCAUUUAUGAUGUUCUACCAAUGAUUUUCAAUAACCAUUGACUUCUGCCAUGUGAUUACAUCGUAUGUUUUCAAACUUCCUUACGCCGCUAAUUCCUUGCCGUAAAAGACAUGCGGUGGUUGGGUUUGUAAUGCGUUAGUAUCGCAUGGGUUCCGUUACGAUGUCCCGUCAGUAAUUGCGGUAUCAUGGCCCUUAUACAGAACAUACUAUUUCACUUUUUGUUCCUCCGUUUUGAUUUUUCCCCUCUUAUGAGACAUAAUGCUUAUCCUCGCCUUUUCCAGAAUGACACAUUUGGUCGGAGUUGGUGCAAUGUUCCUGUGCUUCACUUGCGUUUACCUGUGUUUACUAUACCGUCCAUCAUAAACUGUCCAGCAGCAUAUUAAUCUCUAACGUCUUGAAAGAAAACAAGCUGGCCUUGCUGUGUCUGGGGCUAUACACGUAGGUGAAUAACUGUCAUUGAGCCGCGAGCGGCCAGUGGCUCGGGAGCAACAUGGGGAGUGAUCACCUCUCAGGGCGAUCACGCUCAGAGGCGAUCACACCGGAUCUGUGCGAGUAUACGGCUGAAAGCUCUUCUGGAUCUGCGCUAAGCUAUCUGAGACUGAGUAUUCCAGACAUGCAAGGUGCACUGCUGAUGAGAAGGGGAAAAAAAACCGCUAAAUCGCUUCACGGUGCUCCCCUCCGCCACAUGUAUAUUUGUGCAGCGGUACGCACAACAACAGGCGGCAGAGGGCAAAUCUAUUUAGAAGGAAGACUCGGAAAGAAGGAUCACGCGGUGCAGCAUAAUAUGAACCGUGCAAUAAAUUCAACAACGUCGAACUGUCGGCAAAAAUUACAAAUAAGAGAGUAAUAACGACAGGAAAAAGCACAAAAGGAAUAACUAACGAAAGAUGUCUCGAAACGAAUUAUAAGAAAUUUCACGGAUCGAGCUGUGAGAUAAGUCAAACCUGUUUAGUAAAGAAGGCAAAGUAUAUUUUAGAGGUUGAAAACCGUAGUUCGUACAUGGAUGAGACAGACCAGUAUUCAAGCUGUCGUGCAGGGUAGUAGUGAAUGUUGGUGUGUAGGUUAGCAACAUUGGAUAAAAAUAAUGUGCCAUGUUCAAUCUGCGAUUGGUCUAGCUGUAAAAGAAGGUAAUUGUACAUGUUGGAUAAACGCAUGAUGCGAUAGGUUGCAAACAGUGGUUUGAAAUGUCAACUGUAACGCGGGCAGCAAUUGCGCUAAGCGAAUUCUUCUGCAUAACUAAGAGCUUCACGAUGUUUCUUUCACCGCACUUCUCACAUAGGCAUGCGAUGUCCUUUCUUUUCUUUUUCAUCGGUGCCGAAAAUGAACCGCUCGAGAUCGACAUGGACAUGGUCUCGUCCUGGCCGCAUCUGCCGGGAAAAGACUAUGCUGGUCUUUCGUGCAUCAUCGGGUCAUGCAUCAGGGCAACACGGUGGUCUGCUGUACGAGUCAGGCUGGCGAGCGGCUCCCUGUCUUGCAGCCUGCACUGCGGACCUGGUAGCCAGCUGUUUGAGCAGGCCUUUGUCUUGAUGCCCACCCUGUGGAUCUACUGACCAGCUGAUCCCACGACAUGGUACCUCGGUGUCCGCCCUGCUGACCUUGUUUCCAGCUGUUCUAGCUGAUCGAUGUCUUGCUACGCGCCCUGCAGACUUGGUGGUCAGCUGUUCUGGCCUCCUCCUAAGCUGCUGAUCGCAAGAACACGCGUUCGUUAAGGAAUCACAGGAUAUUCCUGUGGCUCGUGGUCUGAACAAGGCGGGGACGGACAGCCGGGCCAAGCUACGUUUCCCAGCAGACGAGAUCGACAUGGUCGUGACCUGCAACGCAUCUGCAACGCAAAGACGGUGCUGGCGUUUCGUGCGUCAUCGCCUGGCCAAGCGUCAGUGCAGCGGGGUGGUCUACUGUACGAGUCAGACCGGCAAGUUGACCUGGUGGUCAGGCGUUCUAGCAGCCUGGUGUUCCUGAUGUCCGCCCUGCAGAUCUGGUGGCCAGCUGAUUUACCGACGUGGAACCUCUAUGCCCACCCUGUUGACCUGGUGGUCAGGUGCUCUAGUAGCCUCGAGUAUUGAUGCCCGCCGUGCGGAUCUGGUGACCAGCUGUUCUAUAGGACAUCGCCGUGGCUCUUGGUUCAAAGAACGCGGGGACGGACAGCCGGGCCUAGUUCCGCUUCCUAGCAGACGAGGUCGACCUGACUUCUUUAGCAGCGAGGUGAACAUCUCCUGCAGCAUGCUCAUGUCAAGCCACAUGUAGCAGCUGCGAGCAACGUACGUGACACAGUGUUCAUGUCACUGGCAAGGCUGCAGCACACUGUUGACCUCGCGCAGCCGGAUGCUCCAUUUUGGAUGUCGGUUGGCCAGGAUGUCCAGCAAGAUCGAACCUUCUUGCUCAGCAUUUCUAAGUGCAAAGUUCCAGAGCAGCGUGCUCACCGGAAGUUCUCCGGAGGAUCCGGAUGCUCACCGGAGGAUCUGCCCACCACGGACUUCGGAGAAUCCCUUGAUCUGAAGCAACCUGGUGCGCGAGCCACCGAGCAGCCGCUGACCCAGACUGAAGAGGUUCAGCUCGAACGCCAGGUUUCGAACUUACGUCAGAGCGGCCACUUUCACUGUCAUGACGACGUGGCCAUUCGCACCGUUUUUGAAAAUUACGACAAGCGCUUGGUUCCGCACACACAAAAAUAAAGUCUGAAAACACCGCAGGCCAAAAGGCCAGAAGACGACGAUGAUGGCGACGUGUAACGCCCAUGACGUGCAAGAUGCCUUACACUUCACGUACCACGACUCGAACUAAUAAGUGUCUGAGGGGCACGUCCUGGGUAGCUUGAGGGCCGGAGGAAUGCUUUUGCUGGUGUACGAAUGGUUAAGAGCUCCGAAAUAAAGUUAGUGUGUGG